rnacentral:lncRNA from 1 species
CAGCAGCAUUGGGAUAUAGACCUUAUGAAAUUAUAAAUUUUGCCAGAAAUAUGUAUUUUCUGAAAAACAAAUUUGCAAGGAAAAUUUAAAAUUGGUAAAAUAUGACAAAAAUGGCAUUUUCGGAGAUAUCUAUGAAUGCAAAAAUAACUUUCCUAAAGAUUCUCAGAAAUUUUUAUCUACAUUAUCAUUAUAUACAAAUAUUGAUAAAUCCAGUGGUAUCAUUAGAGGGUGCAGUGAAUACAGCCCUCACUGAGUACAUUAUCAUGGGGAUGAUACCCAAUGUUUUCAAACAUAUGUUAAAAAGCUACAUUUUUGCUAAUUUUACAACUGUAAGCUCG